UACGUAGGGGGCAAGCGUUGUCCGGAAUCAUUGGGCGUAAAGCGCGUGUAGGCGGUCCGGUAAGUCCGCUGUGAAAGUCGGGGGCUCAACCCUCGGAUGCCGGUGGAUACUGUCGGGCUUGAGUACGGAAGAGGCGAGUGGAAUUCCUGGUGUAGCGGUGAAAUGCGCAGAUAUCAGGAGGAACACCAAUUGCGAAGGCAGCUCGCUGGGACGUUACUGACGCUGAGACGCGAAAGCUAGGGGAGCAAACAGG
rnacentral:rRNA from 1 species